rnacentral:rRNA from 1 species
GUUGUAAGGUUAAGCAAAUAAGCGUACAUGGUGAAUGCCUUGGCAGUCAGAGGCUAAGAAGGACGUGCUAAUCUGCGAAAAGCGUCGGUAAGCUGAUAUGAAGCGCAAUAACCGGCGAUUUCCGAAUGGGGAAACCCGAUGCAAUUAAUGCAUCAUUAUUAACUGAAUUAAAUAAGUUAAUAAAGCAAACCAAGGGAACUGAAACAUCUAAGUACCUUGAGGAAAAGAAAUCAAUUGAGAUUCCCUUAGUAGUGGCGAGCGAAAAGGGAACAGCCCAGAACUAUAAUCAAUAUGAAUUACAGUAGAAUGAUUUGGAAAAUUCAGCGAUACAAGGUGAUAGCCCUGUAUAUGAAAUAAUUUAUAUUGUGAGUUCAAAAAGUAGAGCGGGACACGAGAAAUCCUGUUUGAAUAUGGGGGGACCAUCCUCCAAGGCUAAAUACUCCUGACUGACCGAUAGUGAACUAGUACCGUAAGGGAAAGGCGAAAAGAACCCCGGCGAGGGGAGUGAAAUAGAACCUGAAACCGUGUACGUACAAGCAGUGGAAGCACAAACAUAGUUAAUAUUGUGAGAUGUGUGACUGCGUACCUUUUGUAUAAUGGGUCAGCGACUUGUAUUCUGUAGCAAGGUUAACUGAAUAAGGGAGCCGUAGGGAAACCGAGUCCUAAAUAGGCGUUAAGUUGCAGGAUACAGACCCGAAACCCGGUGAUCUAGCCACGGGCAGGUUGAAGGUUGGGUAAAACUAACUGGAGGACCGAACCGACUGAUGUUGAAAAAUCAGCGGAUGACCUAUGGCUAGGGGUGAAAGGCCAAUCAAACCGGGAGAUAGCUGGUUCUCCCCGAAAGCUAUUUAGGUAGCGCCUCGUGAAUUCAUCUUCGGGGGUAGAGCACUGUUUCGACUAGGGGGCCAUCCCGGCUUACCAACUCGAUGCAAACUCCGAAUACCGUAGAAUGUUAUCACGGGAGACACACAGCGGGUGCUAACGUUCGUUGUGGAAAGGGAAACAACCCAGACCGCCAGCUAAGGUCCCAAAGUCAUAGUUAAGUGGGAAACGAUGUGGGAAGGCAUAAACAACCAGGAUGUUGGCUUAGAAGCAGCCAUCAUUUAAAGAAAGCGUAAUAGCUCACUGGUCAAGUCGGCCUGCGCGGAAGAUGUAACGGGGCUCAAACUAUGCACCGAAGCUGCGGCAGCAAAAAUAUAUUUUUUUGUUGGGUAGGGGAGCGUUCUGUAAGCUAAUGAAGAUGUAUUGUGAAAUACAUUGGAGGUAUCAGAAGUGCGAAUGCUGACAUGAGUAACGAUAAAGCAGGUGAAAAACCUGCUCGCCGAAAAACUAAGGUUUCCUGUCCAACGUUAAUCGGGGCAGGGUAAGCCGACCCCUAAGGCGAGGCUGAAAAGCGUAGUCGAUGGACAACAGGUUAAUAUUCCUGUGCUUAAUGUUAUUGCGAAGUGGGGACGAAGAAGGUUAGGUUAUCCAGGUGACGGUUAUCCUGGUUUAAAUGUGUAGGUAGAACAAUUAGGCAAAUCCGAUUGUUUUUUAAUCUGAGGCAUGAUGACGAAUCAUUUCGGUGAUGAAGUAACUGAUACCACGCUUCCAAGAAAAGCCUCUAAGCAUCAGAUAACAUUAAAUCGUACCUCAAACCGACACAGGUAGUUAGGUAGAGAAUACUAAGGCGCUUGAGAGAACCCAGGUGAAGGAACUAGGCAAAAUAGUGCCGUAACUUCGGGAGAAGGCACGCUAGUAUUAAGUAAAAAGAUUUUCUCUUUAAGCUGAAACUAGUCGAAGAUACCAGCUGGCUGCAACUGUUUAUUAAAAACACAGCACUGUGCAAACACGAAAGUGGAAGUAUACGGUGUGACGCCUGCCCGGUGCCGGAAGGUUAAUCGAAAGGGUCAAAGGAAACUUAAAGCUCUAGACUGAAGCCCCGGUAAACGGCGGCCGUAACUAUAACGGUCCUAAGGUAGCGAAAUUCCUUGUCGGGUAAGUUCCGACCUGCACGAAUGGCGUAAUGAUGGCCAGGCUGUCUCCACCUGGGACUCAGUGAAAUUGAAAUUGCUGUGAAGAUGCAGUAUAUCCGCGGCAAGACGGAAAGACCCCGUGAACCUUUACUAUAGCUUGACACUGAAUUCUAAAUUUUAAUGUGUAGGAUAGGUGGGAGGCUAUGAAAUUAAGACGCCAGUUUUAAUAGAGCCAAACUUGAAAUACCACCCUUUAAAAUUCGGUGUUCUAACCUAGUGCCGUAAUCCGGCACAGAGACAGUGUCUGGUGGGUAGUUUGACUGGGGCGGUCUCCUCCCAAAGAGUAACGGAGGAGUGCGAAGAUUGGCUAAUCACGGUCGGACAUCGUGAGGUUAGUGCAAAGGCAUAAGCCAGUUUAACUGUGAGCGUGAUAACGCGAGCAGAUGCGAAAGCAGGUCUUAGUGAUCCGGUGGUUCUGAAUGGAAAGGCCAUCGCUCAACAAAUAAAAGGUACUCCGGGGAUAACAGGCUGAUACCGCCCAAGAGUUCAUAUCGACGGCGGUGUUUGGCACCUCGAUGUCGGCUCAUCACAUCCUGGGGCUGAAGCAGGUCCCAAGGGUAUGGCUGUUCGCCAUUUAAAGUGGUACGCGAGCUGGGUUUAGAACGUCGUGAGACAGUUCGGUCCCUAUCUGCCGUGGGCGUUGGAAGAUUGAGGGGGGCUGCUUCUAGUACGAGAGGACCGAAGUGGACGCAUCACUGGUGUUCGGGUUGUCAUGCCAAUGGCAUUGCCCGGUAGCUAAAUGCGGAAAAGAUAAGCGCUGAACGCAUAUAAGCACGAAACUUGCCCCAAGAUAAAUCUUCCCUGAAACAGAAAUGUUUACUGAAGGGACGUUGAAGACUACAACGUUGAUAGGCUAGAUGUGUAAGCAUAGUAAUAUGUUGAGCUAACUAGUACUAAUGACCCGAGAGGCUUAACCUUACAACACCAGAGGUGUUU